rnacentral:rRNA from 1 species
CCUACGGGGGGCUGCAGUGGGGAAUAUUGCGCAAUGGGCGAAAGCCUGACGCAGCGACGCCGCGUGAGGGAUGAAGGUCUUCGGAUCGUAAACCUCUGUCAGCAGGGAAGAACGGUCACUGUGCUAAUCAGCAGUGAAUUGACGGUACCUGCAAAGGAAGCACCGGCUAACUCCGUACCAGCAGCCGCGGUAAUACGGAGGGUGCGAGCGUUGAUCGGAAUUGCUGGGCGUAAAGCGCUCGUAGGCGGUAUGUCAAGUCAAGGGUGAAAUCCCCGCGCUCAACGUGGGAACUGCCUUUGAAACUGGCAAACUGGAGUGUGGGAGAGGAUAGUGGAAUUCCAGGUGUAGGAGUGAAAGCCGUAGAUAUCUGGAGGAACAUCAGUGGCGAAGGCGACUAUCUGGCACAUAACUGACGCUGAGGAGCGAAAGCGUGGGUAGCAAACAGGAUUAGAUACCCGAGUAGUC